rnacentral:rRNA from 2 species
GUGAUGGCGCGUGCUAUACAUGCAGUCGAGCGGACCGACGGGAGCUUGCUCCCUUAGGUCAGCGGCGGACGGGUGAGUAACACGUGGGUAACCUGCCUGUAAGACUGGGAUAACUCCGGGAAACCGGGGCUAAUACCGGAUGCUUGAUUGAACCGCAUGGUUCAAUUAUAAAAGGUGGCUUUUAGCUACCACUUACAGAUGGACCCGCGGCGCAUUAGCUAGUUGGUGAGGUAACGGCUCACCAAGGCAACGAUGCGUAGCCAACCUGAGAGGGUGAUCGGCCACACUGGGACUGAGACACGGCCCAAACUCCUACGGGAGGCAGCAGUAGGGAAUCUUCCGCAAUGGACGAAAGUCUGACGGAGCAACGCCGCGUGAGUGAUGAAGGUUUUCGGAUCGUAAAACUCUGUUGUUAGGGAAGAACAAGUACCGUUCGAAUAGGGCGGUACCUUGACGGUACCUAACCAGAAAGCCACGGCUAACUACGUGCCAGCAGCCGCGGUAAUACGUAGGUGGCAAGCGUUGUCCGGAAUUAUUGGGCGUAAAGCGCGCGCAGGCGGUUUCUUAAGUCUGAUGUGAAAGCCCCCGGCUCAACCGGGGAGGGUCAUUGGAAACUGGGGAACUUGAGUGCAGAAAAGGAGAGUGGAAUUCCACGUGUAGCGGUGAAAUGCGUAGAGAUGUGGAGGAACACCAGUGGCGAAGGCGACUCUCUGGUCUGUAACUGACGCUGAGGCGCGAAAGCGUGGGGAGCGAACAGGAUUAGAUACCCUGGUAGUCCACGCCGUAACGAUGAGUGCUAAGUGUUAGAGGGUUUCCGCCCUUUAGUGCUGCAGCAAACGCAUUAAGCACUCCGGCCUGGGGGAGUACGGUCGCAAGACUGAAACUCAAAGGGAUUGACGGGGGCCCGCACAGCGGUGGAGCAUGUGGUUUAUCGAAGCACGCGAGACUUACAGGUCUGACAUCUCUGACACCCUAGAGAUAGGCUUCCCUUCGGGGCAGA